CGGGACCUGACUCCGAUUGGUUGGGGCUUGGAGCAAACCCUGAGCGUGGCCGUCUCCAGGGCAACGUGACGCGCUCCUGUGGUGGCUCUACAUCGCUGGGUGCGCUCUGAGAUGCUUGGUGCAGUCUAGGCCAAAGGUUUGAAGAAGAGAGACAUGGAAGACUCGCGUUCCGUUGUCACUCUGGACUCCCGUGGCUCGAAAACUUACAACCCCAGAGGUCUGGAGGGACGAAGUAGUCAGUCUCCUGACACCGAGAGCCAGGAAUCUGUGAAGAGCUAUACCUUCUUCAACAGAAGGGACCCUUCAGUGCAUCCCAGGGAGGAUGAUGAGGAGUCCGAAGCUCCCCCGAGAGAGCGGGACCUGAAGGGGACCUACAUCCAGCUCGUACAAGGGGUGCAGGAGUGGCAGGAUGGCUGUGUCUACAGAGGGGACUUCGGACUCAACAUGAAGCUCGGAUUUGGCGAGUUCUCUUGGCCCACAGGCGAGACCUACCGCGGGCAGUUUUACCGGGACCAUUGCCAUGGUGUGGGCACCUACACAUGGCCAGAUGGCUCCAGCUUCACAGGCAUGUUUUACCUCAGUCAACGAGAAGGCUAUGGCACCAUGUUCAUGAAAACCAAGUUAUUCCAGGGAUUGUAUAAAGAUGACCAACGGUUUGGGCCAGGCAUUGAGACCUACCCUGAUGGCAGCCAGGACGUUGGACUAUGGUUCCGUGAGCACCUCCUCAAACUGGGGACAGAGGUCCCCGGCAGCUUCUCCUUGCUGAACUACCCAGAAUUCUUAGACUUCCUCACAAGCUCAAAGGAGAGAAUCAGUCUCUCAGAUGAGGAGAAGGUGGAGUGGGGUCUUCCUGAGGAGCAGGACCCCUUCUUCUAUGAAUACAAACGCUUUCUCCUGAAUGAUGACCUCACGCUGCCUCCAGAGAUGCAUGUCUAUUCGACUGACAACAACCACCUGCCCAUGACAGGCACCCUUCGAAGAGAGCUGGAUGACUGUAUCUUCAUGAAUGAGAUUCCUCCAUUCAUUGAGGAUGAAGAGCCCUGGAUUAUAACAAAUGAGACUCCUUUGUUGGUCAAAAUUCAGAAGCAAACUUACAAGUUCAGGAACAAGAGUGUGCAUGCCAGCUGGAACAUAGCUGCCAUCCUGGAGGGGAACCGCAGCUGCUUUGGGCCCGGUGGCCCCAAGGAGCAUAUCUCCAGGGAGAUGAUCCUGAAGGCUGAGGAAGGGGACUAUAACUGGAUUUUUGGCGUCCUGAGGAACAACCUUGCCUGUGCUGAUGUGUCUGACUCCAAGGGCUACACGGUGUUGGCUGCUGCCGCGGUGCAUUCUCACCGCAACAUUGUCAACCUUCUCCUGGACUGUGGUGCUGAUGUGAACAAGCGCUCGGACGAGGGCCUCACGCCUCUCAGCAUGUGCUUCCUCCACUACUACCCCAGCAAAUUCUUUCAUCCCAACGUUGCCGAGAGGACCCUGCCCCAGGAACUGGCCAAACCCUUGAUCACUCCCAAAAUCUCAUUCUUGUUUGGAGAGCCCAGUGUGGACUAUUUCUACGAUACGGGCACGUCCACCCCAGGUGGGGAGGAGUAUAAGUCAUCACCGGCCCUCUCAAACAGCCUGGACGAUGGCCCGGUCCUGAGCACUGUACAAUCCCGGGAGUCCAUCAGCUGGAAGGGCAGUGUGACUCACAAGCGAGACACCCCCUCAGUGAAGAGUGUCAGCAGUGACAUAGAGAAAGAGCCUGAGGACGGGGCGGAAAAUGCCGAUGCCAGCACCCUGUACAGCGUCGACACAAACUUUGAGUCUAACAUGUGCCUUAGAAACUACUCUAUCCACGUCUCGAAGGACAUCCUGGAGAAGAGUGCCCAGGCCUACAGUUCCAUGAUGCACAUCCCCUCCCUCUCAGACAAAGGGACCGUGAGGAAAAUGGCGCAGACCAUGGCUGAACGUAGAAACCGCUGGCUGACCAUCACGUUGCUGCUGCGUAGAGGCGCUGAUCCCAACCUAUGCCAGGUGCCCAUGCAGGCCCUGUUUCUCGCCGUGAAGGCUGGGGACGUGGCUGGGGUGAAGCUGUUGCUGGAGAGCGGGGCCCGGACUGAUAUUCAGUAUCCUCCACAGCUGAAGUCUCUGACCCCACUCCACAUCGCAGCCUCGCUUCCUGGAGAGGAGGGGGUCAAGAUCACGGAGCUGCUGCUCCACGCAGUCACUGAUGUGGACGCCAAGGCGGCCGACCAGGACGACAUAUACAAAGCCGGCAAGAUUGACCUCCUGCCCUCAAGCCUGAAGCUCAACAAUGAACCAGGCCCACCCAGAAGCUUCUACACUGUCCACACGUUCAUCCCAGAAGAGGGCGGACGCACACCUCUGCAUGUGGCCUGUGAGCGAGAGGACAACAAGAAGUGUGCCAGAGACAUAGUCCGGCUCCUGCUCUCGCACAGAGCAAACCCAAACACGCUGUGGAGCGGCCACUCCCCUCUCUCCCUGUCCAUUGCCAGUGGGAAUGACCUGGUUGUGAAGGAGCUCCUGUCCCAGGGAGCUGACCCCAACUUACCUCUGACCAAAGGCUUGGGCACUGCCUUAUGUGUUGUGUGCGACCUGGCCUAUGAGCAGCAGAGGAGCACGGAGAACAAGAUUGCCCUGAUUGACCGGCUCAUCAGCUAUGGGGCAGAUAUCCUGAAGCCUGUGGUGCUUGUGCAAGGUGAAAGGAUGGCCGUGGGCACAGCCGUGGACUACGGCUACUUCAAAUUCUACCAGGACCGGAAGAUCGCCCACUGUCCCUUCCAUGCUCUGAUGCCAACAGAGCGGGAGAUAUUCAUGGCCCGAAAAAGGCUGCUAGAGUACAUGGGUUUGCAGUUACGGCGUGCUGUCCUUAGCAAAGAGAACCAGCUGGACAUAAAGGCUCUGUACCUGAGCAAGAGAGCGGAGCUGUCCCCCAGCCACAGGCUGAAGAAGAGGACCUCCAGUAUGUCUAAGACCUCAGCCACAGAAAAGCAGCACCUUGCCUUUUACAAGUUUUGCUACCAAUGUGGUCGUUCCAUUGGGGUCCGCCUCACACCCUGUCCCCGCUGCUAUGGGAUCCUGACCUGCAGCAAGUACUGCAAGACCAAGGCCUGGACCGACUUCCAUAAAAAAGACUGCAAUGACAUCAUGGUCAUGAGCCGGCCGUUCAGGGCGCCCGUGCAUUCCUGAGUUCUCCUAAGGAAGACUCUGAGAGCCAGUGAUGGUGGAGAAGGGACUACCCUCCAGCCAGCCUCUUCAGCAGCACUGCGGCAGGACUUAGAGGCAAGAAAGGAUGGGUGUCCUACCCCCCCAAACAACAAAAAGCAUAUGAAACAGGUGCCCGCCUGUGCCCAGCUCAACAAGAAUCCAAAGCAGACGAAACAGGUGUCCAAGUGUGUCAAGUUUGAGAAGAACCCAACGGGGAGAGCCUGCUGGACUGCUUGACAGGGGGCUCCAUCUGUAGUCACCAGUGAGCAUCAGGUUGCCCAGCUCUCCUCACAGGGCUCUACUGAGCCUCUACCUCACUCCAUAUCCUGCUCACUCAAAGAGAGAGGACUGCACUCCCUCCCUCUCCCAGGGGAGAAUCUGGACCACCUGGCACCAGGGCUUCCCAGGACUUGCAAGAAGGUAGACAGUAAGGAUGCAGCUGCCCUCUCCGCCCUGCCCCCACAGGGGGGCUGCACACUGCAAGUAUCCUUGGGUAGGAUCUAAUACCCAGCAGGAGUUUGCCCUUUGUAGGCUCCUCCUUCUGGGAACUGUUUGGGGGUCUCCUUGGGAUGUGUGGCCAAGCAGCAUUUGUGGGGUAGGGCUCUGCUCUGUUCCCCCGUGCUUGUACAGGCCUCACUGAAUGGUGACACUGUGGGCCACUGCUCUCAGAUAAAGCAGACAUGUCACAGCUGGCUGAGCAGGGCUGCUCUGAGUCCUGCUACUGAGUGAGCCAUGGAGGUUGGCACUGUGUGCUCACACAGGGACAGGUCAGCUCCUUGAAGCGAGGGUGAGUCAGCCCUGGAUGCCCUAGGCUAUUUAGGGUCUGUCUGCAGAUGUAGGAUAGCUCAGAACAGAUGGAGUGGCAGGCCAUCCCUGGUCCCAACACUGUUCUCCCGGGCACCUCAGAGUAGCUGGCAGGAAUGGGUAAGACAAUGAAUGCAUGUGGGUUGGAGAGAUGGUAAGUAGGUGGGGCCUGGGCGGGCUGGACCUGCCCUGGUAUCUAGGCCCCUUCCUCCCAUGACCUUUGGCAUAUUCAGUUGGCCCAGGCGGGCAUCUUCCCAGGCAGAACUUGGAGAUGUUCAAUAGUCACCACCACACGGAAACCCUAGGAUCCUACUAUAGGUGCAACCCAUGCUCAUCCCCUUCCAACGAGUCCUGACCUGUGUGUGCCCUGUUGUGUGCCUGAACACAGACACAGCCUCGCCAGAGUUACAUGAGGUCGUGUCCACUGUAGGUCUCCAGCCUUUAAUUCAUACAAAGACUCCAAAGAACACACGUUAUCCACUGGCACCGAGUGACAGAGAACCUCGUGGGGGAAGGACACAGUAGCUUGGCUUGGGCGCUGCUGUCCUGACACCCAGGCACUCUUCAUCCUGAAGCCCAGAUCUGCCUCCUGCCAUUCUUGUCCGAGUGGCACCAGCAGAGCUUGGCAGGAUGGGUGUGCUCAGGGCAAGGACCCAACCAAUCCACGGACCAACCGCAGAGAGUCCCCAUCCUGACCACUGGGCAGGCCUUGGUUCACUGUGCUGGCAGUAGCCUCCCUAACCCAGUGACAAAAGAAACAAAAAGCAGUAAGCAGCCUUUCCAGGCCUUCUGCAUGUCAGGACCACCGGCUUCCUGGUUAUAGCAGCUCAGCAUCCCCAAAGCCCUGGAAGGGAAGACAGAGCUGUGCCAGCCACCCCAGAUCUCCAGGCCACAGGAGGAUACCAGAAUCCAAACGGUGCCUUGAGCCUCUCCAGUGCUGUCAAGGAAGACUGAGACGUAGCGCUCAGUGGACAAGGACACCGAGGGUCCGAAUGUGCAUGUCUGUAGAAGCCCUUGACCGCCAUUGCUCCCCCAGCUCCUGCAGAGCUGCCUGGGUCAGGAAGGGACCCAGACCUCCUCCUGACCUGCAGUACCAGGUCCCAUUGACCCUGAGCUGAAGUGUCACCAGCCACCCAGCGUCCCUGUGGCCAGGAGACCUUUAUAAAUGGGAUAGAGGCUAGAUGUGGCUGGCUAUUCCCCUGAAGUGAGGUUCCUCACGUGGACCCCCAAGGCCAGACUCUGUGAGCUCACAUGAGGGGACCGAACACACCCUCAAGCAGUGUGGCCGUUAAGCCUAGUGUGGCCAUGCCGGCUGCCACCUCACCUAUGUCACACUCAAGGAAGCCCACAUUCACUGGGCUGCGCAGUGGCACAGGGUCCUGGCCCGGUGCGUGUGGGGAUCCUGGCCGCAGAGUUUCUUCUGAGUAGAAGGUAUCAUGCAUACACUUGAAAGCCCUGUCAGAGCCUGGGCAGCAACAUACUGGCAGCCCUGGCAGGCUUCCUGGGGAGCUGCGGGAUGGGCCUCGGUUUCUGACAUCUGUGGCCCUUGGGGUCUGGUGGGGAGUCCCCCGUGGGAAGAGGCGGGAAAGGAAGGCACAGACUCACUUGAGGUCUCCAAUGGGUUGUGGCUAACAGCCGCCCUUCUGGCAGGCCUCAUGAGCUUCGGGGGUGGUGCAGGAGGGCAAGGGAGGAGUGUGCUGCCAGAGGCGCCCCUGAGGUCCCUGAAAUACAUGGCUUUUGGGGACACUGGCUCGCAGCUGACCUGAUACAAAAUUAAAAGCUAGGGUGACAGGCGCAGUCAGACCCAGGAGGCCAGCACCCCACGCACCCUGCCCCAUGACUCAGAGCUACUGUCGCCUCAUCCUGCCCUGGGCCUUGAAGGCCCAAGGGUAUUAAAUAUUGUCUGUUGCA